AUGAACGCUAGCGGCAGGCCUAACACCUGCCAGUCGAGGGAGGAGCCUUCGGGCUUCGACCGGCGUACGGGUGCGUAACGCGUAUACAAUCUGCCUUUCACAUAGGGAUAGCCCGAAGAAAUUUGGAUUAAUACCUAAUGGUAUAUAGAUGUGGCAUCACCUUUAUAUUAAAGCUGAGGCGGUGAAAGAUGAGUAUGCGUUCUAUUAGCUAGUUGGAGAGGUAACGGCUCCCCAAGGCGACGAUAGAUAGGGGUUCUGAGAGGGAUAUCCCCCACACUGGUACUGGGAUACGGACCAGACUCCUACGGGAGGCAGCAGUGAGGAAUAUUGGACAAUGGUCGGAAGACUGAUCCAGCCAUGCCGCGUGCAGGAAGACGGCCUUAUGGGUUGUAAACUGCUUUUGCAGGGGAAGAAUAAGGACUACGCGUAGUUUGAUGACGGUACUCUGCGAAUAAGCAUCGGCUGACUCCGUG
rnacentral:rRNA from 1 species